rnacentral:rRNA from 4 species
AAUCCAUAGGUUAAUGAGGCGAACCGGGGGAACUGAAACAUCUAAGUACCCCGAGGAAAAGAAAUCAACCGAGAUUCCCCCAGUAGCGGCGAGCGAACGGGGAGGAGCCCAGAGCCUGAAUCAGCAUGUGUGUUAGUGGAAGCGUCUGGAAAGGCGCGCGAUACAGGGUGACAGCCCCGUACACAAAAGCGCAUGUGCUGUGAGCUCGAUGAGUAGGGCGGGACACGUGGUAUCCUGUCUGAAUAUGGGGGGACCAUCCUCCAAGGCUAAAUACUCCUGACUGACCGAUAGUGAACCAGUACCGUGAGGGAAAGGCGAAAAGAACCCCGGCGAGGGGAGUGAAAAAGAACCUGAAACCGUGUACGUACAAGCAGUGGGAGCACAGGUUUACCUGUGUGACUGCGUACCUUUU